AUGGAGUUGGUGAGCUGGAAUGUUCGUGGUCUGAACAAUCUAGCUAGGAGGAAGGCGUUGAGAGAGAUAGUUGAUUCCACUAGGGCUAGUAUAUGGUGUAUCCAAGAAUCGAAGAUGGAUGUAGUUGACCAAUUUACCAUAAUGCAAUGCUUCGGUCCGGUGUAUGAUGGCUUCUUUUACUUAGCGUCCUCGGGUAUGAGGGGAGGUAUCAUAUUAGUGUGGGACUCGUCGGUGGCUGGUAUAUCUAACUGUGUUCGAGACACUAACUUUAUAUCGGCCUAUGUGGUGCCGUGUGAAGGUGCCCCAUGGUGGCUGUCGAUGGUUUACGAGCCACAGGAGGACCAUGAAAAAAAAUCAACUUCAUGGAGGAGUUGGCUGCGCGGUGCCUUCUUUGUCCUGGCCCGUGGCUUGUCAUUGGAGACUUUAACCUCAUUCUACAGGCUUUCGACAAAAGUAACACAAUUCUUGACAAGAGAAUGA
rnacentral:rRNA from 1 species